CCUACCCACACCAUGUGCAUCGUAUAGUAGAGAGUAGUUUGAAAAAAAGAAGAAAAAAGUAAACCUUUCUUUGGGGUGUUCUGUUGCUUUUUCUUUGUUCUCUAUUUUAAUUUCCUCAGUUGUUGUUCUCCGUAACCUUUUAACAGUUUACCCUUUUUAAAGUUCACCGUCCUCCGUGUGGGACUGUUCUGUUCUCAACACAUGAAAUCGUUUCUCGGUGUGCAUAUCAACAGGAACCAGGACCUAAGAAACAAGACGUCAUCUGAAGCAGCGGUGGCUAACGAAGUGUCACAAAUUAAAAUACGAGGUCUCACCAGAUGGUUGACAGAAAAAUAAUGAUGAAACAUAAGUUUACUCCACAAAGUUAUUAUACCUCUAAUAUGUGUAUCAAAAUCUAUAUGCUGGAUAGUUAUACCUCCUGUAAUCCAUGCACUAGCUUCUCACAAGUUAAAACAUAACGUUAGCCGAUAGUUAUAAGUAUUAAUUAACGAGAAGUCUACGCAUCGUUGUAUUUAAACUGGUUGCACCACACUAACUGCCUCUUACAUUGAGGUGAUACCGGGUGCUGUUGCGUCGCUAACAGCAAAUGGUGAUAUCUAUAUAUAUACCACUUUCCCGCUUUGUGUAUAACACUUAGGUUUUUUUCUGUUUGGUUUGCAGGAAUGGAGUUGCAUGGUGACAUAGCAAUUGUCUGCUUUGCUAAUGUCUGGAGUGGGUGUGUGUGACAAGAUUGUGCAAGAUUUUCGCAGAUUUCUAACAAAUUCACACCAUAUGCAGAGCACCGACAGUUCAGUUUAAUCUAUAUUGCUGUUUUUAAACCAGCUAGUCGUUCAGAGGAAUUUAUGAAGGAUACACACACUUAGUGGAGCCUUGAACUCAUUGCUGUGAGCAAUAUGUCAUGAGGAGCAUUGCUUCAUUUUUAAGGGUUGCACUGUAAAAGGAGGGUAAAGCUAUGUAAAGCAUACCUACAACACCGUAUUACACCAAGCUUACGGUUCGGAAAUAAUUAGCCCGGGUAAAAUAAAACUGUAAACUCUCAAAACUUUUGCUAAAUUUAUCCUGCAAACUUUAUUUUGGUACCUUGUGAGGGAUGAUGAAACCACAACUUCUGUGUCGGGAUUAAUAACUCAACAGCCGUUAAAGAUUCAUGAGGCCGAAUGAGACUAUGAUUAAAGUGUCCUGGUUCUUUUAACACCGCCGUUAACAGUUCAGCGGACAUCUCUGUGUUGAGAACAGGACGUCGCCUUCAUGGCCGUCCCCAACCCCUUUGUGUUUCCAGUCCCUGGUACUUCUCUGUGGACACUAGGUUUAGAAGACAGUGAGAAUGUCUUGUGAUUGUCGAUGGUGUUAUUGUGCAAACAGUCACACAUGUAGGCGUAGACGAGGGUGCGUUUUGUUCUAUCAUCAUCUUCUCCUUCUCCUUCUCCCCCUCUCUAACUUCCUCCUCCCCUCUUCCUUUUCCCUGUCUCCUUGACAUGUCCAUCCCUCGUUGUCCCCGUUCACAGUGUUAGGCUGGAUUAUGGUUGUGUGCUAGUAGACGCGUGUUCUGUGUGUGCGGUGAGUCUGUGUUGUUGUGUUAAGAUGUGUUGCUCCGUGUGAUGCCAUCGAACACGGAGCGUUGAUUGGAUCAGUGGAGACAAAAGAUGAAAGGGGUGACCCAUGUUCCCUAAAAAAAAAUUUAAAAACAGACAUUGGUUCCCAUUCCCCACCCCACUCAUUCCUGAAAAUGCACAUCUGGAACGUUCCCGCUCUGCACAGUGACGCUGUGGGAUCUUCUUCUGGACAUGAAAACCCACAGACUGUACUGUGUGUGUUUUCUCUGAUGAUAUCUUGUCACACUUUAACUUACAAAUGUAGAAUAUGUGGUUGGAUUGUUUAAAUAUGUGACGAUGAGCCUCCACUCACGUUCUGCCUGCUGUGGUUCACAAAGACAAGGAAGCCGUCUUCAUGGUGGUCAGGGUUAAAAUAAAUAAGCAUUAGGAUCUAUCCAAGACACACAAGCCCUUGAAAGCUAGCCGAGGCUUUUAAACAAAAUAUUUCCUGUCCCCCAAAUCUAUAUUCUGCCAGAGAUCCAUUAUCAAAGACUUGUGAAAUCCAUUUGAAUUGUAGAGACUUUGCCAAACAGAGAUUCCAUUCGGCCGCUUUGCAGGCAGCCAUUGCCGGAGUCUGCCUGACAUAUUCUCUGUGUUUUGGAUACCAGCGGAGCUGGAGCUUGAUUCAAUCCUCCACUGUAACACUUGAAGAAGUAGGCUGAGCAUCCCCCUCCUCCUUUCUCCGGUUCGCCCUUGCCUCAUGUUGAUGUGCUGUAGUCUAGACUCCCCAUUUACAGCUGCAGCAACAGCAGCAGCGACCUCACUAUUAGGAUACUUCCACUGGGUAACUCUUCAAAGAGCCUGCCCAUAUAUAGACGAACCCUUAGGCACCAAUAACCACGGCUUGAAUAUGAGCUGAGACUGAAUUAUUUGUUUUUCUAAACAUUAUUUCUCAAUAAGGGGGCCAGUCGUAGCUGUUCUCUCAAUAUUUGACGAUCACGACUGCAUUGCUUCAUGCGUUUCCUCGGUUUCCUCUCGUUUACGACACCAUGCUCACGCAUCCAUCUCCUGCUCCAGAUCCUACAGCUGCUGUUUCGAUUGGAUUAGAUUUGAGUUGAAUUAUCAGAGUUGAGAGGAGCAGUAAUGGGAUGUCGGAGGAGUGAGCUCGACUGAUUGGGUGAUUACUGGGCUUAUUCAUCUCAUUUCCAUAACAGACCUCUCAUGACAGUGUGUCAUGCAAAUACUGGAGGCUGACUUCACGGUGUUAUUUCAGCUUGUGUACAUACCUGUUAGAUAGAAAUAUUACAUGUGGUAGUUUCCUCUAAUUGGACCAAGAGAUGGUAAUACGAAGCAGUCAUUGUUAUCUCAGGGUUAAUCGUGCAUUUGGCAGAGCAUUGCUUCAGGAUUGUUUAAAGCACCUUGAGCAGACGACUGCUUCAUCUUAACCUUGACCAGACAAGCGCAACUGAUUCACUUUCUAUGUGGCAAUACUGACCCCAAGUGGUCAACGUGUGUACCCGCAACAUCAUGGGACCAUGACGCUGAGGUACCAGUAUUAUUGUGUGUGGGGGGGCAAAUAAAUUAAGCUCUUGGGUCUCAUACAGUGAAACAAUAAGGAGAACAAAUGAACUCUUCAUUGAUUCAUUCAUAUGUCAGUGCUUCUCUGAUAUUUAUUCUAGCCAUAUAUCGCCUCUCCCAUGUAGGUGUCCAGGGAAAGGAUUUGCUCUCAGCUAUAUCUGUGAGGGAGUGAUGGGGAGAGGCCUCCAUCUGGUCAGAACAGAUCCGACCUGGUUUUCCGAGACUCAGUCUGUAGAUUAGAGAGAAAUGUUCUGACGCCCCCAUAAGUCUCCCCACCUUCACAACAAACAAUAACAAAACAUGAUGAGAUAUCACAGCAUCCUUCUGCAUAUAGAGAUGAACAGCAGUCUGACUCACUUCUAAUCACUUUCUUUCUUUCGGUUUUAGCAGGUUUAAUCUAUGCAUGCCUUUUGUAUAAAGUGAUUGGUUUUGCCAAACUCUCCGCUACACCUGUACGGAGAGCUAUGGGUGCCAUUGUUGCCGGCCAUGGGACUGGUUGAAACAGACUUGCUGCAGGAGCAGGGAUCACCCGUGUUUUGCUCAGUCCCGUGGCUGCUUGGUCUCAAGGGGAAAGACGAGACGAUAAUGUACUUGUAUAUAAAACACACAUUACUUCUUUUUUUAUUUCAAGAUAUGUUUUAUAUACCGUCUGUCUUGUAAAUGAACUCCUUUCAUCAUAAAAGCAUGAUGUGACUCUGUCAAA